ACUCAAAUGAAUUGACGGGGGCCCGCACAAGCGGUGGAACAUGUGGUUUAAUUCGACGCAACGCGAAGAACCUUACCUACCCUUGACAUCCUCGGAAUCUGCUAGAGAUAGUGGAGUGCCUUCGGGAACCGAGAGACAGGUGCUGCAUGGCUGUCGUCAGCUCGUGUCGUGAGAUGUUGGGUUAAGUCCCGUAACGAGCGCAACCCCUAUUCUUAGUUGCCAACAGGUAAAGCUGGGAACUCUAAGGAGACUGCCGGUGAUAAGCCGGAGGAAGGUGGGGAUGACGUCAAGUCCUCAGGGCCCUUACGGGUAGGGCUACACACGUGUUACAAUGGGCAGUACAAAGGGAAGCGAAGCUGUGAAGUGGAGCGGAUCUUAAUAAAGCUGUUCGUAGUCCGGAUUGGAGUCUGCAACUCGACUCCAUGAAGUUGGAAUCGCUAGUAAUCGUGGAUCAGAACGCCACGGUGAAUACGUUCCCGGGCCUUGUACACACCGCCCGU
rnacentral:rRNA from 1 species